UCUUACUAGGAGCCGUUUGAAAAGGCUUCUAAGAACUUAAAAAGUUGACUUCCUUCUCGGUUUGAGAGUAGGUCAUUCUGCAUUAGAUCUGUGAAAAUCCUACAUAUGUCCUCAUGGAGAGGACAUUUCAUUUCAGCUCAUGCAGCCCCUUCUAUCUGAGCUGAAAAAGAUCAGUUGCUAUUAAUAUCGUGGACUGUUAACAAUCCUUAUAGAAUGAUAAACAUCCAAGCCCAUCUCAUCACACUCAUCUGUUAAUUCCCCUCAGAUGGCUCUUCCCUCUUAAUGACAUCAUUGCAAUAUAAUUUUAAUGGUUACAAUUUCAUAAUUAGGAAGACACACAAGGGGAGUGUUAAAUCCAUGUUGAACUACUUUUCAUGUGCCAUCCUAAGACUGUCAAGGAUUUCAUACCAUAGGAUUUGUGUCUUAUAAGUAGAGUUUCAUUUGACAAGCAAAGAAAAGUGAGCUUCUCCUCAGGAUUGUUGGAUAGUUGAGGAUUUUUGUUUACCAGAUAGAAGACAGAAAGUUGUGAAAGCAAAUGAAUAUGCUGCUGUGGGAGCUGUGACAACAUGAUGAGGAGUGAAAACACAAUGACCUUCCUCCCCAACCCAAAGGGGGACAUGCCCGGGCUCUGCUACCAUAUUUGCUAAAGAGGAAUCACGACUUCGCCUUUGCUCUGCCGGACACGAUGGCCGGUGUGGCUCUGGCCUCCCCAGCGGGGCCAGUCUCUGGGUACCAAGCUCCAGGGCCAGCGACGCCCAUGACUCCCCUCUCCUGCUGCUGAGGAGGUGACCGUCUGUGUGCCAGGUUUCUUUCUCACAGCCAAAAGCCUGGAAGAUUAACAAUUCUGGAAACCGCUUCUUAUUAAAAGGCGUCUGCCACUUACUGGACACCUGUCUGAUGCCUGGGGAUGUGACAGGCUCUCA